rnacentral:rRNA from 1 species
AGCUUAUUGAAAAUAUUUUAAGUACUUUCUGCCCGGUGAUAUUUUUAACGGCCGCGGUAUUUUGACCGUGCAAAGGUAGCAUAAUCAUUUGUCUAUUAAUUGUAGACUAGUAUGAAUGGAUUAACGUGAUAUAUAUUGUCUCUUUUUUAUUUUUUUAAUUUUCUUUUUACAUGAAGAAGUGUAAAUUUCUAUAAGGGACGAGAAGACCCUAUUGAGUUUUACUUUUUUGUAAUAGUCUCUUUAUUAUUUGUAAAGUUUAGUUGGGGCAACUAAGGAGGAUAAAAUUCUCUUUUUUUAAAUUUUGAUCCAAUAUUAUUGAUUAUAAGAAUAAAUUACCAUAGGGAUAACAGCGUUAUUUUUCUAGAGAGUUCUUAUCGAUAGAAAAGAUUGCGACCUCGAUGUUGGACUAAAAUUUCCAAAAGGUGUAGAAGUUUUUAAUGGUAGGUCUGUUCGACCUUUAAAAUUUU